UUAGUGGAAGCGUCUGGAAAGGCGCGCGAUACAGGGUGACAGCCCCGUACACAAAAGCGCAUGUGCUGUGAGCUCGAUGAGUAGGGCGGGACACGUGGUAUCCUGUCUGAAUAUGGGGGGACCAUCCUCCAAGGCUAAAUACUCCUGACUGACCGAUAGUGAACCAGUACCGUGAGGGAAAGGCGAAAAGAACCCCGGCGAGGGGAGUGAAAAAGAACCUGAAACCGUGUACGUACAAGCAGUGGGAGCACCCUUUGGGGUGUGACUGCGUACCUUUUGUAUAAUGGGUCAGCGACUUAUAUUCUGUAGCAAGGUUAACCGAAUAGGGGAGCCGGAGGGAAACCGAGUCUUAAUUGGGCGUUAAGUUGCAGGGUAUAGACCCGAAACCCGGUGAUCUAGCCAUGGGCAGGUUGAAGGUUGGGUAACACUAACUGGAGGACCGAACCGACUAAUGUUGAAAAAUUAGCGGAUGACCUGUGGCUGGGGGUGAAAGGCCAAUCAAACCGGGAGAUAGCUGGUUCUCCCCGAAAGCUAUUUAGGUAGCGCCUCGUGAAUUCAUCUCCGGGGGUAGAGCACUGUUUCGGCUAGGGGGCCAUCCCGGCUUACCAACCCGAUGCAAACUGCGAAUACCGGAGAAUGUUAUCACGGGAGACACACGGCGGGUGCUAACGUCCGUCGUGAAGAGGGAAACAACCCAGACCGCCAGCUAAGGUCCCAAAGUCAUGGUUAAGUGGGAAACGAUGUGGGAAGGCCCAGACAGCCAGGAUGUUGGCUUAGAAGCAGCCAUCAUUUAAAGAAAGCGUAAUAGCUCACUGGUCGAGUCGGCCUGCGCGGAAGAUGUAACGGGGCUAAACCAUG
rnacentral:rRNA from 1 species